CCCUUAGAUGUUCUGGGCUGCACGCGCGCUACACUGAUGCGCUCAACGAGUUUAUGACCUUGCCCGGAAGGGUUGGGUAAUCUUCUUAAAACGCAUCGUGAUGGGGAUAGAUUAUUGCAAUUAUUAAUCUUCAACGAGGAAUUCCUAGUAAGCGCAAGUCAACAGCUUGCGUUGAUUACGUCCCUGCCCUUUGUACACACCGCCCGUCGCUACUACUGAUUGGAUGUUUAAGCGAGGUUCUCGAACUGCUAGCGACUUAGCUUCGGUGAGGUCGCAGUGUGGGAAGUGAACCUAGCUUUGGUGUCUAGAGGAAGUAAAAGUCGUAACA
rnacentral:rRNA from 1 species